rnacentral:ncRNA from 1 species
UUUGCCGUGAGGCAUGCAGUGAAGUAAGCCAGACUGCGGUGUCUGUACUGACGAACAGGAACCAUAUACGGAGGCUACGAGGUCGGAUGAGGUGACACAUCACACCGAAGUCCAAACCUUCCGUAAGGGAGGAAGUGCCGAAGUAGUAGAU